UGUUUGGAGAAGGCGACCUUGUUGGGUUGG
rnacentral:piRNA from 1 species